UUUACAUGAUUCAGGAUCAUGGAAACCUCAGGGAGAACCGAGCCAGAAGCGUGCCCUAUUUGUCUCGAUCCUCUACAGCGAGAAGCCUAUCUCGAUCGCUGCUUCCAUGCAUUUUGUUAUCAUUGCAUUGUUAACUGGUCCAGAUUCAUUAAAGAAAAAUAUUGUCAAUCAGCAACCUCCAUAAAAUGUCCUCUUUGCAAGGUUGAAAAUUUUUCCAUUGUUUAUAGUUUUUAUGGAGAAUCUUUUAGCCGAUUUUAUUUGAACGGGGCUAGUCAGGAUAGCUUUUUUACAAGCGGACAUGUGUUCAGAUUACAGUGCUACAACAGUGAGCCAGGUAAUAUAUUCAACGUUCAACAAUAUUGGAAGCACCAGAGAUAUCGACGGCAGAACAUUUGGCUUUCAAGUUGGUUGAGAAGGGAGAUCCAAACUCUUACUAAGGAAGAAGAUGUGGACAUAAUCUUCCAUCAUGUUCUUGGUGUGAUAGAAGCCUUUUUUAGAAGGUCAGAUUAGAUUCAGCCGUCGGUUUUUCAGUGCUGUCAAAAUAUGCACAUAAAGCGAUGCAGCAAACAAAGCACAUUGCGUUUGUGAUACAUCAUCUUCUCGUUUAUUAUCUUCUCUCUCGGCUCUAGUCGCUCUUUCAUAAUAUUUUUGUCUUGGUUGCUACUCUUUCCGUAAGUUUGUAUCUUUUACAUUUAACCAUCUUAAAUUUAACCACAGUCAACAAUAUUGAGACUUGGGCAGUGUGGAUUUGCAACAUCUGCGACUAUGAGGCAAUUGUGCUUUGGGACAUUUCAAUACAUACCACACAAUUCUUAUUUAUUUACAUAUCUAACACCUAAACAUUCAUAUUUACAUACAUCUCACUCAAAUCUUUAAUGUCACAUCAAAAAUACCACCUUCAGUCUUUUUAAAAGUUAAUAGUUACAUCACUGCCUUUCUAAGAGUUAAAUACACUUUUUCAAGCACAUAUUUAUGAACCAAGGUGUUAUAAAUGUAAAUAUCAAACUUUGGGGGUUAGAUAUGUAAACACAUAAGACUUGUGUGAUAUUUAACUAAAAUUCCCCCUUCUUUUGACUAUAAAUUAUUGAUUCACAUCAUCCAUGUGCUUGGGCUUUUGUGGUGCGUAGUAAAAUGAAGUUUUCUACAUCAAAUGGUAUUAGUUUACCGACGGCCGGUAUUCGAUGCACCCCCCAUCCCAUCAGCUCUACUGUUGUCUUCUUCUCUAACAAGACCCUUUCUGGAGCCAGCACCUACCAACUCGUCUAUAAUGGGGCGGCCAAGGUGAACGAAUGACAGGGCCAUCAAGAGAAUAAGAUAAUUAUCUCUCUAUUUUGAUCCACAAUUGUGGGUUUAGACAUAAUCCUAUAUUCAAACAUGGUUCACAAAUCCUGCCAGCUCUUCUUAACAUUUUCGGUGCUGAAAUCUUCAGC